CCUACGGGAGGCAGCAGUGGGGAAUCUUGCGCAAUGGGCGAAAGCCUGACGCAGCAACGCCGCGUGCGGGAAGAAGGCUUUCGGGCUGUAAACCGCUUUCAGCAGGAACGAAAAUGACGGUACCUGCAGAAGAAGGAGCGGCCAACUAUGUGCCAGCAGCCGCGGUGAUACAUAGGCUUCAAGCGUUGUCCGGAUUUAUUGGGCGUAAAGAGUUCGUAGGCGGUCGAGUAAGUCGGGUGUGAAAAUUCUGGGCUCAACCCAGAGACGCCACCCGAUACUGCUUGACUUGAGUUCGAUAGGGGAGUGGGGAAUUCCUAGUGUAGCGGUGAAAUGCGCAGAUAUUAGGAGGAACACCGGUGGCGAAGGCGCCACUCUGGAUCGAUACUGACGCUGAGGAACGAAAGCAUGGGUAGCAAACAGGAUUAGAUACCCUGGUAGUCCAUGCCGUAAACGGUGGGCACUAGGUGUGGGUUUCUAUUAACGAAAUCCGCGCCGUCGCUAACGCAUUAAGUGCCCCGCCUGGGGAGUACGGUCGCAAGACUAAAACUCAAAAGUAGUAGUACGGACGUCGAGACGUAGCCGACGACGACCACACGGGAGUAGG
rnacentral:rRNA from 1 species